rnacentral:rRNA from 1 species
GUCUCUUCGGGGAUGAUUAAACCGGCGCACGGGUGAGUAACACGUGAGUGACCUGCCUUUUAGACUGGAACAACUUACCGAAAGGUGAGCUAAUGCCGGAUGAGUUAUAUAAGUGCAUGUUUAUAUAGGAAAAGUUGGGGAGACCUGACGCUGAAAGAUGGACUCGCGUCCCAUUAGCUAGUUGGUAGGGUAAUGGCCUACCAAGGCGACGAUGGGUAGCCGGCCUGAGAGGGUGGCCGGCCACACUGGGACUGAGACACGGCCCAGACUCCUACGGGAGGCAGCAGUGGGGAAUUUUGCGCAAUGCUCGUAAGAGUGACGCAGCGACGCCGCGUGAAUGACGAAGGCCUUCGGGUCGUAAAGUUCUUUCGACAGGGAAGAAAAUGCCUAUAAGUAACUGUGUAUGUAUUGACGGUACCUGUAUAAGCAGCCCCGGCUAACUCCGUGCCAGCAGCCGCGGUAAUACGGAGGGGGCGAGCGUUGUUCGGAGUGACUGGGCGUAAAGAGCACGUAGGCGGUGUUGUAAGUCAUUAGUCAAAGACUAGAGCUCAACUUUAGUAAGGCUAGUGAUACUAUAAUACUAGAGUAUCAGAGAGGAUUGCAGAAUUCCUGGUGUAGCGGUGAAAUGCGUAGAUAUCAGGAGGAAUACCGUUAGCGAAGGCGGCAAUCUGGCUGGAAACUGACGCUGAGGUGCGAAAGCGUGGGUAGCAAACAGGAUUAGAUACCCUGGUAGUCCACGCUGUAAACGAUGGAUGCUAGGUGUUGGGCUUUU